rnacentral:rRNA from 1 species
GUAAGGAAUAUUGGACAAUGGGCGCAAGCCUGAUCCAGCCAUGCCGCGUGAAGGAUUAAGGCCCUAUGGGUUGUAAACUUCUUUUAUACGGGACAAAACCCCUCUACGUGUAGAGGGUUGAUGGUACUGUAAGAAUAAGCAUCGGCUAACUUCGUGCCAGCAGCCGCGGUAAUACGAAGGAUGCAAGCGUUAUCCGGAAUUAUUGGGUUUAAAGGGUGCGUAGGCGGACCUAUAAGUCAGUGGUGAAAGCCCCAAGCUCAACUUGGGAACUGCCAUUGAUACUGUUGGUCUUGAGUACAGUUGAGGUAGGCGGAAUGUGUCAUGUAGCGGUGAAAUGCUUAGAUAUGACACAGAACACCGAUUGCGAAGGCAGCUUGCUAAGCUGUAACUGACGCUGAUGCACGAAAGCGUGGGUAGCAAACAGGAUUAGAAACCCUAGUAGUCC